UACGGGGGGAGCAAGCGUUGUUCGGAUUUACUGGGCGUAAAGGGCGUGUAGGCGGUCAGCACAAGUCAGUUGUGAAAUCUCCGGGCUUAACUCGGAAAGGUCAACUGAUACUGUGCGACUAGAGUGCAGAAGGGGCAACUGGAAUUCUCGGUGUAGCGGUGAAAUGCGUAGAUAUCGAGAGGAACACCUGCGGCGAAGGCGGGUUGCUGGGCUGACACUGACGCUGAUGCGCGAAAGCCAGGGGAGCGAACGGG
rnacentral:rRNA from 1 species